UACGUAGGGUGCGAGCGUUGUCCGGAAUUAUUGGGCGUAAAGAGCUCGUAGGCGGCUUGUCGCGUCGUCCGUGAAAACCUGCGGCUCAACUGCAGGCUGGCGGUCGAUACGGGCAGGCUGGAGUUCGGUAGGGGAGACUGGAAUUCCUGGUGUAGCGGUGAAAUGCGCAGAUAUCAGGAGGAACACCGAUGGCGAAGGCAGGUCUCUGGGCCACUACUGACGCUGAGAAGCGAAAGCGUGGGGAGCGAACAGG
rnacentral:rRNA from 1 species